UGAAAGCUAGUGGCGGGCUCGCUAUAACUCCGAGCGUAGUAGUAAAAUAUCUCGCUAGGGAGGUGUCGCGGGUUCCGGCCGUGAAAGCCCAUCUUUUACACAAGGUUGACCUCGGAUCAGGUAGGAAUACCCGCUGAACUUAAGCAUAUCAAUAAGCGGAGGAAAAGAAACCAACAGGGAUUGCCCCAGUAACGGCGAGUGAAGCGGCAACAGCUCAAAUUUGAAAUCUGGCUUCGGCCCGAGUUGUAAUUUGUAGAGGAUGCUUUUGGUGAGGUGCCUUCUGAGUUCCCUGGAACGGGACGCCAGAGAGGGUGAGAGCCCCGUAUAGUUGGACACCGAGCCUCUGUAAAGCUCCUUCGACGAGUCGAGUAGUUUGGGAAUGCUGCUCAAAAUGGGAGGUAUAUCUCUUCUAAAGCUAAAUACUGGCCAGAGACCGAUAGCGCACAAGUAGAGUGAUCGAAAGAUGAAAAGCACUUUGAAAAGAGGGUUAAAUAGUACGUGAAAUUGUUGAAAGGGAAGCGCUUGUGACCAGACUUGUGCCCGGCUGAUCAUCCAGUGUUCUCACUGGUGCACUCUGCCGGGCUCAGGCCAGCGUCGGUUCUCGCAGGGGGACAAAAGCUUCGGGAACGUAGCUCCUCCGGGAGUGUUAUAGCCCGUUGCUCAAUACCCCUGCGGGGACCGAGGU
rnacentral:rRNA from 1 species